rnacentral:rRNA from 1 species
ACACGACUACAUUAGAUACCCGGGUAGUCCUAGCCGUAAACGAUACUCGCUAGGUGUCGGCCACGGUGCGACCGUUGUCGGUGCCGUAGGGAAGCCGUGAAGCGAGCCACCUGGGAAGUACGGCCGCAAGGCUAGAAACUUAAAGGAAUUGGCGGGGGAGCACAACAACGGGUGGAGCUUGCGGUUUAAUUGGAUUCAACGCCGGAAAUCUUACCGGGACCGACAGCAACAUGAAGGCCAGGCUGAAGACUUUGCCGGAUUAGCUG